AUUCCAGCUUAUUUGAUACCCACUUCAAGUUUCUAUCAAACCAUGUCUUUUUCUUCGAACGUCAAUCUCGUAG
rnacentral:tRNA from 3 species